GACAGAGGUGCCGAGCGUUAGGCGGAAUCACUGGGCUUAAAGCGUGUGUAGGCGGAUGCCUAAGUACCUUGUGAAAUCCCACGGCUCAACCGUGGAACUGCUUGGUAUACUGGGUGUCUUGAGCUAUCUAGGGGCAACUGGAACAAACGGUGGAGCGGUGAAAUGCGUAGAUAUCGUUUGGAACGCCAAUGGUGAAAACAACUCGCUGGGGAAGUGCUGACGCUGAGACACGAAAGCCAGGGGAGCGAACGGG
rnacentral:rRNA from 1 species